CGCCCGCCCGCCGGGCCCCGGCGCCACGCCCGCACGCGACGCCGCCCUGCCGCCCCCGCCGCUGCUGGCCUGACCGCGAGGCGGGUCGCGGGCGCGGACGGCGGCGCCCGCGGCGUCUUAGUGACCUUUUCCGGACUCGGCCCGGCCCCGGCCCUGCUCCCGCCCCGCGGUCCCGCUCGGGCCCUGCGAUCGCCGCCCUCCUGCCCGGCCGGCCCGGCCCCGCUGCUGAAUCACGGCCGCCCCUCGCUCGGGCUGUUUUCUAACUUGUGACUUAGAGCCCUGGCUGCGGAAAGUGCGCGGACGUCUCUCCUGGGCCGGAUGCUCUCCCGCGGGCACCCCGAGCCGCGCUCCGCAUCCGCGCGCACGGCGGGCGCCCGAGCCUUCUCCGGGCCGGCCUGACAGCACUGCUCCUCAGACUCGGGCCCGCAGCUCAGGACGCGGGCUGCGUCGGCCGCGGAGUCGGGGCGGGGGAGUGGGGGAGGCAGGGGCAGAGACAGACACAGAGACAGGAGGCGGCGGGGAGGGCAGGGAGGCUGCGGGCGCGGUGGGCUUCCGAAAGGAUGCCCAGGGGGUUGUGGAAGUUAGAGAGCGUGUUGUUCUGUCGUUUUGACGCAAUUCUCAUAGUUUUACGACUUCUGAUGAUUUCGAACAAAAGGUAAAGUGUAGUCACACUUAAAAAGGGAGGGGAUAAUUUCUGGGUAGGAAAAUAGUUUGGUUGGCUGUAUCAUAUUUCCAGCUGGCAUACUGACACGUUGGGACUUUUUUUUUUUUUUUUAUGAAGAAUUUUAAUGUGAACUCAGGAAUCGGUCAUAGAUUCCAGUUUGAAAAUACGCCAGGGCACGGUAUGGUAGUUUCUUAUUGAUACAAAUACAGGUUUUUGGUUUUUUUUCCCUCACCUUAAGUCUUAAGUAAAUUUUUUAGUCAUCUGAACAAACAGGUCCAUCCUUUACCCUACAUUGCAAAGUGAGUUGUGGAAGAUACAGUGUAAUUAAAAUCAUACCUUAAACUCGAUUUGGGAAAAUAUUAAAAUCGUCAUUAAGGAAUGUGGGCAAGAAGUCUGUUUUGAUUUUUCAAGUAUGUAUUCUUUGUAUAUCACGACGAAAUGGAAAUACACAACUCACCCAUGGAACAGUUGGUAGGCCUUUUACUGAAUAUGCAUUGUCUAUUUAUUGAUGUGAUUUAGUCACUGCUUUAGAGUGUUAAAUGCUUUUGAUCCUGAAUCAGAUGAUCAGAGUCUAGAAAGUUCCCAGUUUUUUUUGUUUUUGUUUUUUAACUUUAACUGGGUACUGGGAUUUUGUUAUUAGGCUUAGUGCUUAAUUGGCUGCAAUGAAAACUUUUUAUGUAAUUCAACUUGUUCCUUUAUUUUGUAUUCAUUUUGUUUAAUGUUACCAGCCUUCCAGGUAAGUUGUGAUAUGUAGGGGGCUGGAGAUGGGGAGGACAGAACUCUCUUUACUGUGCCACUAAUCGUAACUAACUCAUGUACUUAAAUAGAUUUGUAGUUUAAUAGCAACCUCAGUUUAAUGCUUUUCUCUGUUUGGCAUACUUUGGUGUGCAUGUUUAUUAGAACAUACAUCAUUACUCUUUUGCUUUUUUUUUAAUCUGUAAAUUUAUCUUUCUGUUAGUUGGAUGUGGGGAAAACUUGAACAUAUACUUUUUGCUGUAUUAGUGAUGUGUGAACUUAAUAUCUGCAGUUUUAUACCUGCAUAGGCGGCUGGUGUUUUAUAUUGACUUAAAUAGUUCAUAUUAUUAUUCUAUUAUUUUGUACUAUUCUGGGCAGCCUAUAACCCAGAAUCCUAGGUUUUAAUUAAAAGACUUACGCAAAGCUCACUCUUGGAACUUACAGCCUGUUUUUAACAGCUUACUGGUAAAGAGACCUGUUUGCUCUCUAAGACUUAAACUUUGAAGUGUUUAAAUAAUGAGUCAAAGCUUUUUUUACUUUUAAAUAAGUACUCAGAACCAACUUAUAGUUUGCAAAGACCUGAAAUGGAGAUUUUAAAAUAUUAACUCUAUUUAGGUUUUAUAUGUGACCUCAAACAUUUAAAUAAUAUCUUUUCAAGUAGUGAUGUCAGAGAGUGAAUCAACAUAAAUGUCAUUCAGAGGCAAUGUUAACUUGGUAUUGCUGAAAGCUGCAUGUUGAAUACAUGCAGUGGACAGGUAGAUUGACAGUGGGCCUGACUUCAUUUUCAUUCUGAGACAGAGAAAAACAAAGGGCUGAAUUCCUCAUAGUUCUGGACCUCAGCUUCUUUGCAUGACAGCUGCUAUGCUUACAGCUGUGCGUUGCAUGUGGUGCCUUUCAGAAUUCAUCAGAUCGCUGUUGGAUUAUAGGCUUGUUUGGGCAGGGCAAAGCCCUAAUUUCUUUACAUCCAAAGUAGUGGACCCUUCUCCUCUCUCCUCUCAUCACCUCUCCCCCCAUCUCCUCCCCUCCCUCCCCCAUAUUCAUUCAUUCAUCUAAUGUUUGUUUAGCCCAUGCUGUGUGCUAGGCACUGUGCUCUGUUGUACCGCACAGUGAUGAGCAAAAAGGCAGCAGUAACUUCUCAGGGCGCCUGUAGUCUCUUGGGGGAAUCAUCUUUAAAUCAGUAAAUAGCUGAUCAGCGCCUAGAUGGUUGGCACGUAGUGGGCCCUCAAUAAAUAUUCAUUGAUUGGCAAUGACUCACACAAAUGUGUUGAAGGAAAAGAAAGCAGUGCUGUGAGAACACAGUUCAUAUUGUCUGCGACCAUGGAGCAUGCAGUUUUGCCCAUGGGCCAAAGAUGGGCAUACAUCAGACAUUUUAAACUAGAGUUUAAUUUGGAUUCUCAGCUUUGUGAUCUUCACUUUUUACAUAUCUGAGCAGCCUCUGUAAAAUGGAAAACAUGUUACUUGAAUGAAAUAGAUUAAACUUUCAGGUAGAGAGCAAGGAGGGUUUUUAGUGUCAGGUGUUUCAGGUUAUUUUAAUGUGAACCAUAGAAAGAUCACAAUUAUAAAAUGGCAUAGAAACGGUCAAAUUUAGAAGUAUUUCUCAUCUUCUUGAUCUCUGUCCCGUUUGUUUUGGCGAGAAAUGAGAAAUUGAAUUUGCUUGUUAGCAGUAAGCAAUGACUGUUGGCAAAUGCUCUUUCAGAAUGUAGACUAUCAUGGCAGUGUUUUCCCUGCUUUCUCAGCUGCAUAAGAGCCUUACCUGAAGUUCUUUUAACCUGGAGAAACAGCAGUGGCUUUCUACAAAUGGGCUUAGUGGAAGGAAUGAAAAACGGGAUGCCUGGGUGUUUACCAGGUAUGCGAUUUUGAGCAGCUCAUGUCACCUCUCCGAGACGAAGUUUCCCUAGCCUUAAAAAUGAAUAUCAUAACAUCGAUGAUACUUGUGCCACCUAACCUCACAAAGUUGUCAAGAGCAAGUGAGAUAAUAAAAACAUGCUCUGUGAAGCCGUGGGCUCUUGGAAAUGUAAGUACCACGUCUCAGAACAGGGUUGGCAUUUACUUCCCUGCUACUUGCGGAGGAACUACUGACUUGGUGACUCAUUUAUUCAGUGGGGAUUUAUGGAGCACCUGUGGAAGCUCAGAAUAAGCGUUGGGUCUCUUCUUUCCCUCUUUCUUCCUAUGUCACAGCCUCAUUCUGUGCUGUUUCACCCUUGUUUUAGGUCUAGUUCUAACCUAUUGACCUUACUGUUCACAGCAAAUUAGGAGAAAAUAGUUUAUAUUUAUAGCAGCAGGAAGUUUUAUACCUGAAAGCUGGACAUUGAAGAAAACAAAGUUUAUAACAAAAAUCAGCAAUGAAUAAUAAAGAACAGGUUUUGUAAGGUCAUUUAAUAGGUUCAGGUAGUGCUUCAUAAAAACCUUAAGUAGUGCCUGAGAAUAUCAACUAGUUUAUAAGCAUUUAUCUCCAUGACUUUGAGUCACCACAGAACAGUUAAAUUAUAAUCAGCUUAGCAAAGUGAUAUUUUAUCUGUCUUUACCAUCAGAAUUGUUUAAAUUAAAAACCUUGGUACUGUGAAGAACUCUAAAGUCUUUUGAAAUUGUAUAUAUUUGAAAUUCUUCAGUAAAGGUGUUGAAUAACAAGCCUUUAGAAAUUUAAAAUUUAGGGAGAUAAGAGAGCCAUAUGCAAAGAUAACUCAGUCUAAGGUACUUUUUUUUUUUUGAAGUGCUAAACAGAUGGUACAGGCAGUAAGGACUGUUGCCCUCCCUAAGAGGAGGAAAAAGGGAUGCUGAGCUGGGCUGGGCUGGCUAGGGAGACUUUAUGUAGAAAGGGUGGCAGGAUGGGGACAUUUCAGAACAGAGAGAGGAACAAGAAGGACGUUAAGUGGAACCUUGGGGGCUGAGAAGUUGUAACUGUGUGGAUGGUCUUCCUCUCUGUUAUUUAACAUGUAUUCCGUGCAUCUGUGUCAGGUGCUAUUCUAGGGGCUGGAGUUUCAGCAAAGAACUAAAAUGAGAAGGGUACCUGUUCACAUAGAAUCACGUUCUGGAGAGUGGGGGACUGCAGGCCAACAGAUGAAGUAGGCAUGCCUUGUAAUGUCAAUAGUGUGUCAUAGGGUAGGUUGUAUGGCCUGACUGUUGGUGGGUGGCUAGGGGUGACCUUUCUGAGGUUGUGACAUAAAUGACACAGGAAGUUCUAGGGGUUGAGGGCUCCAGGAAGAGGGACCCAGUUCUAUUAGCAGUUCUACUCAUUAUAAAAUAGCUUACAUGAGUAUAUUCGGAGUAUGAAACUUAGUUCUGCAAAUGGACGUACAUUGGCCCUUUUUCUGCCAGGUGCUGCACCAAGCUGCUGGGUUGGUUGGUGGGGAGAGGAGAGAUGACUAUAGCAGGUACCAUCCUCCUCCAAUGCGGAGUCUCCAGGUCCGUUUCAUUACCGCCACGUGCAGGUCAGACUUAGUGGGUGUUCUGGUUGGUGAGGGGGAAGGAAAUGGGCACUUCCAAAACUGGAAAACUUGACCAAGAUUCCCCUACCAAUGAGUAUCACAGUCCAAAUUUGAACCAGGUUUUCCAUACCUUUUCUUUAUAUAAUAUGCAGCUUUUUGUCUACAUGCGGUUGGCAACAACAGAAGUGACAACAUUGGUUCCAUUUAAAGUUGAAAUUAGAGAAUACAUUUAAUAAACGCAGAGUGGUUGGGCUUCCAUGGAGUUUGAUCUCCUAACCUUUCCUGGCAGCUGGCAGCUCUGUUUCAGACUACAAGCUGAAUGACAGAGGCCUGUGUCUGAGGAUGGGCCUUAUGCCUACGGGGUGCUUGGUGGGCAGAUCGUGUGCCCACUCACAGGGCACUGGCCUGUGGUUCCUGUUUGCAGGUGCUGGAGCAGGAAGUGGAGAACUUGGACAUAGCAGCGUUUCUGUGUCUGGCUUUAUGCUGGCAACCUUGUGGUGUUGGACACAAAUAAGCUGCUUCCGGGUUGGUCAGUCUUAGAGGGGCCUGUCUCUGCUCUAGCUUUCUGGCUGCCUCCUGAGGGUGCCUUUGCUGAGCAUUGAAUGUUCUGUCACUGGUGGUUGCUUGCCAGGAUGAACUCUCUGCUGUUGUUGUGGUGGUCUGUUUUUAAAAGCUCAGUACAGUUUUAAUUAGUAUUUUUUCAACAGUAGGAGUUAGGGAAUUAAAAAAAAAAUGCAGUUCUGCUGCUGCUGCUGAAUUGC